GCGGGAGCCGGCCAGACUGUGGCUCUUGGUAUAUAUCCAUUUGGAGAAUAAGAUACUAGCUCCCCCUUCUGCCAAGCACCGGCACUCUCUGAGAUGCCGGGGACAUGAGCAAUGGAUGAUUUUGGCUUCCUCUGAAUAACUCCUGAGAGGGCAUGUGUAGUUCCUCUGUGGGAGGACAUUGUCACCUGUGUCAACAGCUUUGAGGCUUUAGCUAAACUUGUGGGAGAGAAAGAUAUGGCAUGUGGAAGACACUGUGCAUGAGGUGAAUGAGGAGUUCUUCCAGCUCUCUUCUCCAGCCCUGGAGCUCCAGAAAGAGGAGGAUGAGCCAGACCCACUGCCCCCAGGUGAAGGCAGCACAUUUGUGGUGGCUCCCAGCAUCUCCCCUUGUGAGUGGCAGGAAGAUAAACUUCACCCACUGGAGACAAGUGGCCCAUAUGGAGAGAAGCUGGGACCCUGGGCCCUGAAGAGCCACCAGGCCCUGGAGCUGGAGGUGAGGAGAGUCCACCUCGCUCAGAGGAUUGAAGACCUGGAGUGGGAGCUGUCCCUGCUCCAUGAGGCGGCCAACAGCAGUUCGAGCAUGGGAGGGAGCUGGUCCAGCUGACACAGCGGCCUAAGGGGCACUGAGUCACAUCAGAUGCUGCAUGGUGGCCACCUCUGGGAGGUGCCUUCUCACCGAGAACAUGAAUGGGCUCCCCUGGUAGGAAGGAGUGGGCAUCUGGGGCCCGGAGUGUGUGCUGGUUUUACGACGUGCUCCUACAGGGAAACACCUGGAUUUCUUUCAGAGCCUGGACCUCAGCUUGUGCUCAAUUCUGCCUUGAACUUUCUGGGGUGAGGGAAAAUAAACUGACAUGGGUUGACAAAA